AUUGGUGAGUUCAUCUCCAAUGGUCAGUAGCCCGCAUUGGAUUAGUUCUCAUUGAUGG
rnacentral:pre_miRNA from 1 species